rnacentral:rRNA from 1 species
AGGACGAACGCUGGCGGCGUGCUUAACACAUGCAAGUCGAGCGGAAAGGCCCUUCGGGGUACUCGAGCGGCGAACGGGUGAGUAACACGUGAGCAAUCUGCCCUUAGCUUCGGGAUAGCUCCGGGAAACCGGAAUUAAUACCGAAUAUGAUCGCAGCCGACAUCGGCUGCGAUGGAAAGUUUUUCGGCUAGGGAUGAGCUCGCGGCCUAUCAGCUAGUUGGUGGGGUAAUGGCCUACCAAGGCGACGACGGGUA